rnacentral:rRNA from 1 species
GAUGAACGCUAGCGGUAGGCUUAACACAUGCAAGUCGAGGGACCGGCGCACGGGUGCGUAACGCGUAUGCAACUUGCCUCACAGAGGGGGAUAACCCGUCGAAAGACGGACUAAUACCGCGUACUGUGAGAUAGGCAUGCGUUCCAUUAGCUGGUUGGUGAGGUAACGGCCCACCAAGGCAACGAUGGGUAGGGGAACUGAGAGGUGGCACACCCACACUGGUACAAGGACACGGACCAGACUGCGACGGGAGGCAGGAGAUAUGAGUAUAGGGAAGGGAGCGAGAGCCUGAACCGGCCAAGUCGCGUGAAGGGUGACUGGAUAUGAAUUGUAGUCGUCUGUGGAGGGGGAAGAGGUAACCUACGAGUAAGCAUCGGCUAACUCCGUGCCAGCAGCCGCGGUAAUAC